rnacentral:rRNA from 1 species
GUGAGGAAUAUUGGACAAUGGGCGCAAGCCUGAUCCAGCCAUGCCGCGUGCAGGAAGACGCAUCUAUGGUGUGUAAACUGCUUUUGUACGGGAAGAAACACUCCCUCGUGAGGGAGCUUGACGGUACCGUAAGAAUAAGGAUCGGCUAACUCCGUGCCAGCAGCCGCGGUAAUACGGAGGAUCCAAGCGUUAUCCGGAAUCAUUUGGUUUAAAGGGUCCGUAGGCGGUUUAAUAAGUCAGUGGUGAAAGCCCAUCGCUCAACGAUGGAACGGCCAUUGAUACUGUUAGACUUGAAUUACAAGGAAGUAACUAGAAUAUGUAGUGUAGCGGUGAAAUGCUUAGAUAUUACAUGGAAUACCAAUUGCGAAGGCAGGUUACUACUUGUGGAUUGACGCUGAUGGACGAAAGCGUGGGGAGCGAACAGGAUUAGAUACCCUAGUA